rnacentral:rRNA from 1 species
AGAGCUACCGCUAUUGGAGUUCGAUUAAGCCAUGCGAGUCGCGAGUCUUAGAGGACUCGGCGUACCGCUCAGUAACACGUGGGUAACCUGCCCUAUGCUGGGGGAUAACCUCGGGAAACUGAGAAUAAUACCCCAUAGUUCACCACGCCUGGAACGGUGGGUGGAUGAAAGCUCCGGCGGCAUAGGAUGGGCCUGCGGCGUAUCAGGUUGUAGGGGGUGUAAUGUACCCUCUAGCCAUCUACGCGUACGGGUGUUGGGAGACAUCGCCCGGAGAUGGAUUCUGAGACACGAAUCCAGACCCUACGGGGUGCAGCAGGCGCGAAAACUUGGCAAUGCGAGAAAUCGUGACCAGGGAACUCCAAGUGCAUCGGGUAAGACCGAUGCUUUUCUUGACUCUUCAAAGGUCUUGGAAUAAGGGGUGGGUAAGGACGGUGCCAGCCGCCGCGGUAAUACCGGCGCCUCAAGUGGUAGUCGCUUUUAUUGGGCCUAAAACGUCCGUAGCCGGUUUGGUACAUUCGUGGGUAAAUCAAGGCGCUCAACGUCUUGAAUUCUGCGAGCACGGCCAGACUUGGGACCGGGUGAGGUGUGGGGUACUCUCAGGGUAGGGGUAAAAUCCUGUCAUCCUGAGAGGACCACCUGUUGCGAAGGCGCCACACUAGAACGGAUCCGACGGUCAGGGACGAAGCCUAGGGGCACGAACCGGAUUAGAUACCCGGGUAGUCCUAGGUGUAAACGCUGUGGACUUGAUGUUGGGAGUGCUCCGAGCACCCUCAGUGUCGAAGCGAAGGUGAUAAGUCCACUGCCUGGGGAGUACGGUCGCAAGGCUGAAACUUAAAGGAAUUGGCGGGGGAGCACUGCAACCUGAGGAUUGUGCGGUUU